rnacentral:rRNA from 1 species
GACGAACGCUGGCGGCGUGCUUAACACAUGCAAGUCGAACGAAGUGGCGAACGGGUGAGUAACGCGUAAUCAACCUGCCCUUCAGAGGGGGACAAAAGUUGGAAACGACUGCUCAUACCGCAUACUGAAGGAGGGGAUUGCGUCUGAUUAGCUAGUUGGAGGGGUAACGGCCCACCAAGGAGAUGAUCAGUAGCCGGUCGCGUAGGAUGAACGGCCACAUGGGGACGGAGACACGGCCCAGACUCCUACGGUAGGCAGCAGUGGGGAAUCUGCCGCAAUGGACGAAAGUCUGACGGAGCAACGCCGCGUGAGUUAUUACGGCCUUCGGGUUGUAAAGCGCUGUUAAUCGGGACGCGGUACCGGAAUAGAAAGCCACGGCUAACUACGUGCCAGCAGCCGCGGUAAUUC